UGCUGAACCAUUAUACAAUUUAAAUUCUGUCUUUAAAAAUAGAUUCUAUAAAGAAAAAAAAUUCUUAAGCAUGACUUGUGUUAAGGCGACUAACACAUUUUUGACGUGUUAAUAUUUGUACCUACACUUAAGAUUUAUUAUUAUUUUAUAAUAACAGUUGUCUAGGUGAUAGUAACUAUAAACACGUUGCUACAUUGGUAAUUUUAACACCAAAAAAGAGUGGUAAAAGGAAUUCAAUAACUCAAUAACUAUAAGUUGAAUAAAUAUUUAGUAUGGUAUGGAAGGUCAACCCUCUUUAAAUUGCAUUCUGUCAAAAAACCAUAUUAUAAAUAAUGAAUUUAGACAGAAAGUUGACACGAUAGAUUUAUAAUUCCCUAUAUGAUUAAAUUAUUAGCAACUAAAUGUAAAUUAUUUUAACUCGCAUGUUUAUAAAAUACAAUAUACUGUUUUAUUAUUUUCGGGUUUUGUUACCAAUAACCAUCCAUUUAAGAAUGCAAUAAUAAUAUAUGAAGUAAAAUAUUUAUAUGCAGUGUAUUAGU